GGAGUUAGCCGGUGCUUCUUCUGUGAGUGAUGUCCUUCCUGCCGGUUAUUGACCCGCAGGCCUUCUUCCUCACUGAAAGUGCUUUACAACCCGAAGGCCUUCUUCACACACGCGGCAUGGCUGGAUCAGGGUUGCCACCAUUGUCCAAUAUUCCCCACUGCUGCCUCCCGUAGGAGUCUGGGCCGUGUCUCAGUCCCAGUGUGGCUGAUCAUCCUCUCAGACCAGCUACGGAUCGUCGCCUUGGUGAGCCGUUACCUCACCAACCAGCUAAUCCGACAUAGGCUCAUCCGAUAGCGCGAGGCCCGAAGGUCCCCCGCUUUCCCCCGUAGGGCGUAUGCGGUAUUAGCCUGGGUUUCCCCAGGUUAUCCCCCACUACCGGGCAGAUUCCUAUGCAUUACUCACCCGUCCGCCGCUCGCCACCAGGGAGCAAGCUCCCCGUGCUGCCGCUCGACUUGCAUGUGUUAGGCCUGCCGCCAGCGUUCAAUCUGAACCAAGAUCAAAUUCUGA
rnacentral:rRNA from 1 species